AAACUUUAAAUAGCUGCAAUCUUUGUACUAAGGUAGCAUAAUCAUUUGUUUUUUAAUUUUAAACUAGAAUGAAAGGUAAAACAAAUCAUUUCUUUAUUUUUUAUUUUAUUUUAACUUAUAUUAAAUAUAAAAAUAUAUUUUUUAAAAAAAAAGACGACAAGACCCUAUUGAACUUCACUUCAGUUUAGCUGGGGAAGCUAAAUAAUAAAUAUUUUAUUAUAAAUUUUAUAAAUGACCCAAAAUAUUUGAUUAACUAAUCAAGUUACCAUAGGGAUAACAGCGCAAUAAAUUUUUUAAGUUCUUAUAAAAAAAUUUGCUUACGACCUCGAUGUUGAAUUAGAAAUCUAUA
rnacentral:rRNA from 1 species